rnacentral:tRNA from 1 species
AGGCUUGUAGCUCAGGUGGUUAGAGCGCACCCCUGAUAAAGGUGAGGUCGGUGGUUCAAGUCCACUCAGGCCUACCA